CCCAAGUUGCUGGGAUUACAGGCUCACGUCACCACACCUGGUCCCCCUAUGUUAUUGGGGACAGAAUUGUGCCCAGACAAGAAAAUGAUGUUUCCCAGCCUCCCCUGCAGCUGAGUGGGGACAACCAUUGAGAUGCCGUUGCAGGGCUCCGCUUUGGAGCGGGCAUUGGAGGAAUUCUUUGACCACCAAGCAGCCUCCAUACCUCCCUCCUACAUAACAGAGCCACCGAGAGGCUGUUUGCAUUCUGCCUGCUUUCUCUUUUUCCGUUGCAGUAGUUUAUUAAUUAGUGUGCAAAAAAUAAAAAGGAGGUAAUAACCUUAUUUAUG
rnacentral:lncRNA from 1 species